rnacentral:rRNA from 1 species
UACAGAGGGUGCAAGCGUUAAUCGGAAUUACUGGGCGUAAAGCGCGCGUAGGUGGUUUGUUAAGUUGGAUGUGAAAUCCCCGGGCUCAACCUGGGAACUGCAUCCAAAACUGGCAAGCUAGAGUAUGGUAGAGGGUGGUGGAAUUUCCUGUGUAGCGGUGAAAUGCGUAGAUAUAGGAAGGAACACCAGUGGCGAAGGCGACCACCUGGACUGAUACUGACACUGAGGUGCGAAAGCGUGGGG